CCCACAGGGACUUGUACACUACACUGCGUGCUGUUCAUACUUCCUGAAAAUUAAACAAUAGUGGUAAACUGGCAAUCUACAGGCAAGGCACAUAGCAGAGCAAUCUGGCUGCUUCUGAACGACCAUCAACAGGAUUUGCUUCCUUUCAUCUCAUUCGGCUAUGUAACAGAGUGCUUGAAGUACCCCCAGGAAGUUCCUUUAUCCUUGGCAAAAGGGGUUUGUGAGUCUUGAUUUCAAUGCCCUUUUAUGCUACUGACUGUCAAAGGGGUUGCUGUGCAAGUAGUGAAUCUGUAACAGAAAUGACAGCCAUGACAGCCUCAUAGAGCCAGCGUCAAAAAUAUUAGUGAGCAAUUUAGUAGGCCAUCAAGCACAUGAAUAGACUGGGCCUUUUGCCAUGUAUGAUCCAUCUAGGUGGGAAAAUAUUGCAGCAGGAUCAGAGAAAAGAGACAAGUUGACCAGCAAAGCUGCCAAGUUUAAAUGAGGCCCUUUGCAGCAGCAGAUCUUGGAAGCCAUUCAACAAGUCAAGACCCAGGCACCACCUUGAAAACCUUGAGUCUGCUACCUUGAUGGAAUUACUGGAUGUGACAGCAGAGACCUGGAAGAAAAAUGCCUUGAUUUGGCUGUGUAAGCUGCAGCCACUGCAGGUAACCUGAAGAAAUGCUGAAUCUGCUGUCCUGGACGUCAUUCUGUCCCAGAUCACAGACACCUUUACAUCCUGCCAGUGGUGAACUACACCAGCAUUCCCAAUACUACAGUGCGCGUCUAUAGAAGCUGAGCCCUGGAUUAUCAAGUGAAGACCUGAUACUUGCCACAUGGGAGGGAGCCAGAGGGACCCUGUUUUAAUUUAGCUGGUCUAAGGUGGCACAAUGUCACAACCACAACUAACAAAACCUUGGCGGGAUGGUAUUUUGACACAGCCAGUCUUCUUUUGUCCCUUGCUACCUAUCAGUAGGCAAUAAAACCACUUCAUGUAAUGUUGUGUGUACAGGUAUACUGCCUCACCAGAUUCAGACAGGUCAGUAACCAGUGCACAGUGAACCUGCUUCACACAGCCCUAGGACAAUGGGUACUAUGAUCAGCAUUACCACUUUAUAGAUGAGGAACUGAGGCACAGAGAAGUAAAUCAUAUAGCUAGUAAGUGGCAGAAUCAGAAUGUGAUCCCAGGCAAUCUGGCCUGUAGAGUCUGUAAUAUUAACGACUAUGCUAUGGAGUCUUUGAUGGAUUAGGGAAAAAAAUUACCGUUGCUCUUCCCAAAAACCUUAUAAUUAAAUGACUCUAAUGAUCAGAUGUGAGCACAACCUUGGAAAAUGUAAUUUUCCAUAAAUUUUAGAUCAUUUGGAAAUAUUGUCCAUUUUCUUUCUUGGCUAACUUUGAUCAUUGAGAACAGCAGCAUAGGAUUUUAAUAUUUAUUUAUUUAUCUGAUAGUAAGCAUUUAUCUAAACUCUUUAUGGAAAUCUUCAAAUCAGUCAUUUCAUUUAUGUAGACAAAAAUGCAGGUGAAAAAUCUAAGUAUGUAUUUAAAUUUACUGAAAAUCAUAUUUUUUCCUUAAGUAAGCCUUUCAUUAUUCCUCUGGAAUUUCUCUUUUCCAUGUAAUGGCUCUUUUGUUGGUAAGAUUUUUCUAUGUUAUUCAUUGACAGCUGCAAAACUGCUUUGCCAAGUUAAAAAUGCAAUCGUAUUUUGAAAGAUACUUGUUUGUUAAACAUAAAAUGAUUUAUUUAGUUGCCUGUUUAUAAUAGUUUUAGAGAAAUAUUACUCUAGGAAUAUAUUUUUAUGUGAAAUGACUAUUAAGAGUUCAUUAUAUUUUUCCAUGUUUAGGAUUCUAUUCUCUCAUUUCUUUAAUAUCCUCUGCAAUUAAACACUGACAAAAAUGGACUCACUUCUACUUUUUUGGUUUUAUUCUUCUCAUAUCCUUCCUUGUGAAUAUCCUCACAUAACUUUCCACUGUCUACUAGAUAUAUAAUCAAAUGAAAAUUAUCUGUUUAACCCCAAUUAAGAGCUCAACACAACUGUUCAACCCCUCGAUCUGGCAUUCAUCAAGCCCUUAGCCUUGCACUAUCUUGCCUCAUUCAACCCAUUUUCUAUUUCUUCUCAAACGAAUUAAUGAAAUACUCAACUACUGACCUCACUGCUUUCUACAAAGGCAUUUGUCCCUUGGAAAGGCUUUUGGUUUUGGUUUUGUUUAUUUAAGCUACUUUCUAUACCAGGAGUCUCUUUCCAAUUCUCUCUCUCUCUUUCACCCUUCAAAAUGUAACUUGAAUAAUCUUUAUACAGUAUAAAAUCUGUACAUUGAGCAUUUUUAAUAGUUGUCACUAAUAUAUUAGCACAUUUCGUUCAAUUUUUUAUAGUCUUAAAAACUUCAAAUACGACAUCAAAUCGAUAUAAUGACAGCAUUCUUGAAAGAGAAAUGUAUAUUUGCCAAAGAUAAAGGCAGGUUAGAGGAUGUUUUAGAUAAUCUGGUUCAACAUUUGCUUCCAUGGCAGGAUCAGAGGUGUGCACAACCUUAAGUAGGGAAGGAAAUCUCAAAAAUAGUUACUACCUUCUUGCCACAUGUCCCUGUCAAGAUGUAGUGUAGUUCUCACAGAUGUUUUGUGUUUUUAGCUUGAUGUGUGUAUGAGAAAACCACACCAAACUGAAAUGUAGCAAAAUUUCAGCCUUGAACUAGAAUCACUGAGUAGUCUCAGCCUUCUCUGCCCUUUAUGUGUAACCCAAGGCAGCCAAGGUACUGAGGGCAGAUGUUUUCCUGGGUGCCAAGGGGAGGGUCGGGGAAAGGUCAAAUAUGGUGGUAUACUGCGUUUUCUGUCUGCCUUAGCUCACUGAUUUUAGACGGUCAGAGGCUUUGAGGUGAUCAGUGACUCUAAACUGCCUUAAUUGUGUGUGUUAAGGUUUGUUGAGACAGUGUUCCGGAGCACCCCGAGUAUCUAGACCAUCCUUGUAAGCAGAAUGGCUGGUCUCUUAGAGUCUUCAAUACAUCUGAGAAGGUCCAAGCUAUGUGCCCGGUCCCAUAGUCUGAUUAGAUUUGCUUAGUCUAUCUGUAAAGGUUGUUAGUCUGGCCAGUCUUUCUGGACUGAUUGAUGUAUUUACCAUACCAAGAUUUUUCUUACAGUCUUCUUGAUACUUGACUGAAACUUUGCUGUUCUGGUUAGCUGGAAAGUUUAGGAUAGCCAUGGCCUGGGUGGAGGUAGAGGUUGAGGUUAUGUAUGGCAGGAUACCCAGUCCGGCUUCCAGUUGGAUCAAGGCAUCUGGGUUUCUUGACCCAUCCCACUUGACUCUUUCAUUUAGCCCUUCCAUCAAUGCAAUAGAGGGAAAUCUGACACCUAUCUAUUUGACCCCUCCACAUGAAGUUGGGGAUAUGAAACAGGUUCGAGCAAAAGGCAACCACAGCCAUUCUCUGGUUAUCCAUGUAGUGAGACCUCAUUCACCAUUUUUUUCUUUUUUUUUUUUUGAGACAGAGUCUCACUCUGUAACCCAGGCAGGAGUGCAAUGGCAUGAUCUCGGC
rnacentral:lncRNA from 1 species